CCCUUAGAUGUCCUGGGCCGCACGCGCGCUACACUGACAUGUUCAACAAGCCUCCUAGUUCGACAGGAUUUGGGAAAUCUUUGAACGCAUGUCGUGAUAGGGAUAGAUCAUUGCAAUUAUUGAUCUUGAACGAGGAAUUCCUAGUAAACGCGAGUCAUCAGCUCGCAUUGAUUACGUCCCUGCCCUUUGUACACACCGCCCGUCGCACCUACCGAUUGAAUGUUUCGGUGAAGAUGCCGGAUAGGACUUUUUUGAUUUAUUUCAAUUUUGUCUUAAAAGCUAUCUAAACCUCAACAUUUAGAGGAAGGUGAAGUCGUAACA
rnacentral:rRNA from 1 species